UUGAUGAUCAAUUUGUUGGUGGAGGUAUGGGGUAUGCUCUUGGUAUUGGGGUUAUAUGUAUGACAUGUUUUGGUUGUAUGUUUGUGUGUUGGUGGAACGAAAAGUUUGACGGGCAAGGGGUUGUAUGUAUCCGGUCUGACAAUGUUGUUGGGGGUUAGAUGUUGAGCUGUCUGGUGUGUAAGUUUGUUGGCGUGGGUCGUACAGGUACAUAUCCACGACGAUGAACUGAAAACCAACCGGUCUGUACUAAGCCAUAUAAG
rnacentral:lncRNA from 1 species